AUAUCAAUCUUAGCAUUCGCAUAUCAAUCUUCUAAGAAGUGAGUAAAAUCAUUGCAAAAUGCCUUUUCGCAUCAAUCAAGCUUUCCUUUUGGGGAUGCUAUGCAUUGCUUUGGUUUUGGAUUCAGGAGUAGGAGGAGGACUAUUUCCGGGACUAAGCUGCCAACAAGGAAAAUGCGCGAGUAACACAGUGUGCGACCAGAAUUGUCAUAACAGUGGCUUUCAGAAAGGAGGCACAUGCAUAGGAAUUAUUCCAGGCCUUAUCCAGUGCUGUUGUUACAAAUGAUCGACCACUUGUAUGAAAAAUCAAAUAAAACUUACCAAGAACUUCU